UACGUAGGGCGCAAGCGUUUAUCCGGAAUUAUUGGGCGUAAAGAGCUCGUAGGCGGUUUGUCGCGUCUGCCGUGAAAGUCCGGGGCUCAACUCCGGAUCUGCGGUGGGUACGGGCAGACUAGAGUGAUGUAGGGGAGACUGGAAUUCCUGGUGUAGCGGUGAAAUGCGCAGAUAUCAGGAGGAACACCGAUGGCGAAGGCAGGUCUCUGGGCCGAUACUGACGCUGAGGAGCGAAAGCAUGGGUAGCGAACAGG
rnacentral:rRNA from 1 species